rnacentral:rRNA from 1 species
UACGGAGGGAGCUAGCGUUGUUCGGAAUUACUGGGCGUAAAGCGCACGUAGGCGGCUUUGUAAGUUAGAGGUGAAAGCUCGGGGCUCAACCCCGGGUCGGCCGUGCGAACUACUGGGCUGGAGCACUGUAGAGGCAGGCGGAAUUCCGGGUGUAGCGGUGGAAUGCGUAGAGAUCCGGAAGAACACCGGUGGCGAAGGCGGCCUGCUGGGCAGUUGCUGACACUGAGGCGCGACAGCGUGGGGAGCAAACAGG